rnacentral:rRNA from 1 species
AUUACCGCGGCUGCUGGCACGGAGUUAGCCGGUGCUUCUUCUGCGGGUAACGUCAAUUGCUGAGGUUAUUAACCUCAACACCUUCCUCCCCGCUGAAAGUACUUUACAACCCGAAGGCCUUCUUCAUACACGCGGCAUGGCUGCAUCAGGCUUGCGCCCAUUGUGCAAUAUUCCCCACUGCUGCCUCCCGUAGGAG